rnacentral:rRNA from 1 species
UACGGAGGAUCCGAGCGUUAUCCGGAUUUAUUGGGUUUAAAGGGUGCGCAGGCGGGAGAUUAAGUCGGCGGUGAAAUUUUGACAGCUCAACUGUAAAAAGUGCCUUCGAAACUGGUUUCCUUGAGUGUGGAUGAAGUAGGCGGAAUUUGUGGUGUAGCGGUGAAAAUGCAUAGAUAUUACGAGGAACUCCGAUUGCGCAGGCAGCUUACUAAGCCAUAACUGACGCUCAGGCACGAAGGCGUGUGGAUCAAACAGGAUUAGAUACCCCGGGUAGU